UGCCAGCAGCCGCGGUAAUACGAAGGGUGCUAGCGUUGUUCGGAAUUACUGGGCGUAAAGAGCAUGUAGGCGGAUGAAUUAGUCAGAGGUGAAAGCCCCGAGCUCAACUUGGGAACUGCCUCCAAAACUGCUAAACUCGAGUGUGGGAGAGGAAGAUAGAAUUCCUGGUGUAGCGGUGAAAUGCGUAGAUAUCAGGAGGAAUACCGAUGGCGAAGGCAAUCUUCUGGACCAACACUGACACUCAAGCGCGAAGGCUAGGGGAGCGAACAGGAUUAGAUA
rnacentral:rRNA from 1 species